ensembl:snRNA U6 U6 spliceosomal RNA
CAUUGGAAUGAUUGGAUAAAAUUGGAAUGAUACAGAGAAGAUUAGCGUGGCCCCUGUGUAAGGAUGACAUGCAAAUUUGUGAAGCGUUCCAUAAUUAA